GCUGUCCGCCAUGGCGCGCGACCAUCCACCCGAUCCCAUCCCGAACUCGGCCGUGAAACCAGCCUGCGCCAAUGGUACUAUUGCUCAAGCAAUGGAAGAGUAGGUCGUCGCCAGGC
rnacentral:rRNA from 1 species